UGAAUAAUCAAUUCUCGCCUUGCUGGGGACAUUAAGAACGAGGAGCGGUGUUGGGAGCGGCAGCCGAUCCCGGCGGGCUCACCGCUGUGGGAUCCUCGGAUCUCCUCGCUGGCUGCAGCAUUUCCAUCACCUGCCACAAACUGCUGCAAGAAACCGGCGGGUCUGGGCUCUGCCAGCCCCUUCCAGCGCAGGACAGGAGCUCUAGGACAGACACAGAACAGGACCAGAGCCACGACCCCGAGACAAGGAGCCUUUCUUCCCUUGACAGGCUCCGGCUGCCCGAGACAAAAUAUCCGGAGCUGGGAUUCACUGGCUCUCUUUGCUGCCCAGGAGCAUGAGGGGCUGCAGAAGGAGGUGGCAGCAGCUCAGUGGUCCCCGUCAGCCCCCACACACCCCAACUGUGCCCAACACCUCUGGACACUGCUCUGCUGGGAUCACAGGGGUAUCAGUCUCCCAUGAAUUCUUCCAGCAGCAGUAGUACCCCGAGGUGGGAAUAACUCCAUCCUGAAGGUUUGGCCUCAGGCAAACUGUAGAAAGAGAAGGGGCUUACUGGAAGCGGCGUGGAUACCUAUGGAUCCCAGAUGGCUCCUCUGGGAAGCAGCUCCACCAUAAAUACUGGAAAUAGGCACGGAGCAGUUUUAACCAGCAAAUUCCUCCCUGCUUAGCACGGUAACAGGUCCUGGGAUGUGGGAAGGGAUCCAUGAGGAAGGACGAGAGGUGUUUGCAGGGAUGCAGCGCACUUUGCAUGCGGCUCCGCUCCCCUUCCCGCUGAGGGGAGAAGAAGGGGAGGAUUUUACGUUUCAUUUACGAGGCAUUCCGGGCUCUGCGGCUCGCCAAGAGCCGGAGGGAAGUGCCACAGGGAGGGAGGGACGGAGACGUGACAGCGCACACAAAGGGAGCCCGAGCGGCGGCUCCGCUCGCAUACCAAUGUGGCCAGGUGGGGACAGCUCCGGGGACAGGCCCGGGACACCUCCAGGGACAGCUCCAGGGACUGCCCGGGCCCGGUGACUCCUGGCCGGCAGAAUGGGCUCUCACAGCCCGGUGAUCCCGGCUCCAUUCCCAAGAACUAACCACGGGAUGGGGAUCCAGCCCCGGGGCCAGGCUCUCCCGGAGCAAUUCCGGAUCCAGCCCGGGCAGGGAGCGGCUCCUGCGCUGCCGGGACCCGAGCGGGGCUCCAGGCCCUGAACAAAAGCAAAGCUUUGAUCUGGGCUCCUAAAGAAGCUUCCAGCCCCCAGUUCUACAGGACGGAAGGCACCAAGGGGAAGCAGAGAGGCAGCUCCUCCAGAGGGGUCUGGGGCACACCAGGGACCCCGAGCUGGGCGGGAGAGCAGGAUGGGGAAUUUUAAAGGGAACACACACACACACACAUCGGGAAUAAGCGCAGGAGAACGGCCGCAGUGCCUCAGCCAAGCCCUCGCACUGCCCAUCUUCCCCGCAGGAAUCGUUCUGUGGGAAGGUGAGGGAGCAGCUCUCGUGUUUCCACUGCUCUCUUCCCAGGAAUCUGCAGCUCAGGGGCUUCCCCAGGUGGUCACAGCCCUGCUUUCCACAGGCUUGUCCCCUUCUCCCGUGGAGCCCCGGUGCCAGCCCCACAGCGUCCCUCGGCAGCGCCUCCGUCCCUCGUUCCGUGCUCUUCUCCCAUCGUGGGAUGCCCCCUAAUGCUCACAGCGCAGCAUCCCGGCCUGCAGCCGCGUGUCAGCACUUACCGGGCUCCAGAAUCCUCUCUCUAGUCCCCCUGGUACAUCCCUGGAUCCAGAAUCCUCUCUCCAGCCCCCCUGGCACAUCCCUGGAUCCAGAAUCCUCUCUCCAGCCCCCCUGGCACAUCCCUGGAUCCAGAAUCCUCUCUCUAGCCCCCCUGGUACAUCCCA